CACCCGCUGGCCGGCCGGAUGAGCUGGCGGCUGGAGACGGCCGACGGCCGGGAGCUGACGGCCGGUUCGGCCCCGGUAACGGUCGA
rnacentral:tRNA from 1 species